rnacentral:tRNA from 1 species
UGGGGGAUCGUCUAGCGGCAGGACGCAAGAUUCUGGAUCUUGAAACUUAGGUUCGAAUCCUAGUCCCCCAGCCA